CCUACGGGAGGCAGCAGUGGGGGAUAUUGCACAAUGGGGGAAACCCUGAUGCAGCAACGCCGCGUGUGGGAAGGAGGUUUUCGGAUCGUAAACCACUGUUCUUGGUGAAGAUAAUGACGGUAACUAAGGAGACAGCUCCGGCUAAAUACGUGCCAGCAGCCGCGGUAAUACGUAGGGAGCAAGCGUUGUCCGGAUUUACUGGGGGUAAAGGGUGCGGAGGCGGUUUUGCAAGUCAGACGUGAAAACCACAGGCUCAACCUGGGGACGGCGUUUGCAACUGUGGGGCUUGAGUGCAGUAGAGGUAGGCGGAAUUCCCGGUGUAGCGGUGAAAUGCGUAGAGAUCGGGAGGAACACCAGUGGCGAAGGCGGCCUACUGGGCUGUAACUGACGCUGAGGCACGAAAGCAUGGGUAGCAAACAGGAUUAGAUACCCCUGUAGUC
rnacentral:rRNA from 1 species